rnacentral:rRNA from 1 species
GACGAACGCUGGCGGCGUGCUUAACACAUGCAAGUCGAACGAAGUGGCGAACGGGUGAGUAACGCGUAAUCAACCUGCCCUUCAGUGGGGGACAACAGUUGGAAACGACUGCUAAUACCGCAUACUGAAGGCGUGGCUUGCGUCUGAUUAGCUCGUUGGAGGGGUAACGGCCCACCAAGGCGAUGAUCAGUAGCCGGUCUGGAAGGAUGAACGGCAACAAUGGGAAGGGGACACGGCCCAGACUCCUACGGGAGGCAGCAGGGGGGAAUCUGCCGCAAUGGAAGAAAGUAUGACGGAGCAAAGCCGCGUGAGUGAUGACGGCCUGCGGGUUGGAAAGCUCUGUUAAUCGGGACGCGGUACCGGAAUAGAAAGCAACGGCUAACUACGUGCCAGCAGCCGCGGUAAUUC